rnacentral:rRNA from 1 species
CCGCAGAAGAAGCACCGGCUAACUCCGUGCCAGCAGCCGCGGUAAUACGGAGGGUGCAAGCGUUAAUCGGAAUUACUGGGCGUAAAGCGCACGCAGGCGGUUUGUUAAGUCAGAUGUGAAAUCCCCGGGCUCAACCUGGGAACUGCAUCUGAUACUGGCAAGCUUGAGUCUCGUAGAGGGGGGUAGAAUUCCAGGUGUAGCGGUGAAAUGCGUAGAGAUCUGGAGGAAUACCGGUGGCGAAGGCGGCCCCCUGGACGAAGACUGACGCUCAGGUGCGAAAGCGUGGGGAGCAAACAGGAUU